CAAAAGAACCAAAACCCUAGUAAGUGGGUUGAGGUAUAUUAUUAAUAUUGAUAUAAUAUUAUUAAUAAUGAUAUAUAUGUACAAUAUAAACUUAUAAGAGCUUGCUAGAAUUGGCUCUCAAGAUUCUUUUUUGGGCAGAGACACAUCUCCAGACGCUACAAGCAGUGUACAUAAAAGGUUCAGACAUCAGAGCAGAUUUUCUGAGCCGCAGGUUGGUGUUGCCAGGGGAAUGGUCUCUAAGUCCAUCAAUCUUUCAAAUGUUGAGUCAGCGGUGGGGCCGUCCGACCACAGAUCUUAUGGCUACAAGAGAAAAUGCCACGUUGGAAAGAUUUUAUUCCCAGUUUCCACAAGACAGGCCAGCGGCGGUGGAUGCUAUGCUUCAAUGUUGGGGAGGCAGUCUGGGAUACAUAUUUCCUCUACUUCCAAUGAUUACCAGAGUUCUGAAGAAGAUCAAGCUGGACAAAGCCAGAGUCAUUCUGGUAGUUCCAUACUGGCCCAGGAGGGCUUGGUUUUCUCUUCUGCUGGAAUUGGCAGAGGAGGAUCCUGUUUUGUUGGGCUCCAGCAGAACUCUGCUUCAUCAGGGACCAGUGAACCAUCCGGAUCCCAGCAGACUAGCUCUGUCAGUGUGGAUCCUGAAUGGCAGUUGCUAACACAGCAGGGGCUAUCAUCCGAUGUCAUUGCUGUUAUGGUUCACAGUAGAAAAGCAGGAACUAAUGAGAUCUAUUCUAGAAUUUGGAAAAGAUUUUCUUUAUGGUGUGGAGAUCGUUCUAUUGAUCCAUACAAGGCUUCUGUUCCUCAGAUACUUCAGCUCCUGCUAGAGGGGUUUCAUAUGGGAUUGAAACCAGCUACCCUUAUAAGUGGCAGCUUUGGGGUCAAUGAAAAGCAUUUCGCUAGGUGAGAAUCUCCUUGUCAAACAGUUCAUCAAAGCAACAAGUAGGUUGAAGCCUACUAUUAGGGAUGUUUGUCUACCAUGGGAUCUCAAUCUUCUCCUAUCGGUUUUGUCUGAAGACCCAUUUGAGCCAAUCUCUUCGAUCCAUAUUAAACUUUUGACGCUGAAGACUAUAAUUUUGGUGGCUCUCACUUCAGCUAGGAGAGUGGGGGAAUUACAAAGUCUUUCUAUUGAAGAUCCUUAUCUACAGGUAUUUCCUGACAAGGUGGUGAUGAGACUUCCUCCCUCCUUUGUUCCUAAAGUGGUUUCUGUUUUUCAUUCUCCUCAGGAGAUUGUAUCACCGUCUUUUUACCCACAUCCAGUGGGGGAUAAAGAGUGCAAGCUUCACAAGUUGGAUGUCAGACGAUGCUUGAUUUAUUACCUGUCUAGAUCGGCGCAGUUCAGGAAAUCAAAUAAUCUUUUCCUCAAUUUCUCAGGCCCGUCUAGGGGGUUAGCUGCUUCAAAACCUACGAUUUCAAGGUGGUUAAAGCAGGUUAUUGUUUUGCGUAUGAGUCCAGAAAUCUGUCCCCGCCAGCGAGAAUCGAACCACAUUCGACCAGAGCAGUGGCUACGACUUGGGCACAGAGAGCGGAAGCAUCGGCAGAGCAGAUUUGUAAAGCUGCAACAUGGACUUCGAUGCAUACGUUUUCCAAGCACUACAAGCUGGACGUAUUUUCUUCAAGGGAGGCUGCUUUUGGCCAGAAAGUACUACAGGCAGUUUGUGUUCCCUCCCAUUGAUCUUUUCAAAAUCUCUUUGGUGUGCUGCCUAGGGACCUGAAGAAAGAUAAGAAUUUCUUACCUGUAAAUUGUCUUUUCUUCAGGUCCCCUCAGGCAGCACCAUUUAUCCCUCAUCUUAAUUAAAAUUCUGUCAAAGCAACCUCUGUGUGAGGGGAGGUUGUUUUUAUGUUGUUUCCUGUCCCUAGUAGGAGGGCCUAUCUCUCUUUGGUGUGCUGCCUGAGCGGACCUGAAGAAAAGACAAUUUACAGGUAAGAAAUUCUUAUUUUCCUUCAGGGUGGUGGCAGCUUCAGGGUACCCCAAUUUCAAUAGGUGACCUUAAGCACAAUUUGCAACAAAAGGCAGGACAUAUGUCAAUCACAACUAUGCGGAAGUUCAAGGAGUGACUUUAGAUGCAAUUACCUUUAAUAAAUAUAAUUAAUUUGCACAAUAACUGUGUUGAUUUUUUUUUGAUCUCUACUGCAGUUGCAGUUAUAAAUGGACUCUAUAGGUUUUGGAAAUCAAAUUAGUUUUGAAAAAUUGAUUGAUAUACUUUUAAAUAGGUAGAAAAUUAGGAGACGAUUACGUUUGAUUACUGGCCCGAAGCAAAAUUACCAGCUGAUAAACUUCUGCCAACAAAUACCCAGAAUAGUGACGUGUGGAUUGACCUGAACCCACUGUGACCUGCAGGUUUGAACUGAAAUUUGGUCAACCAUUGCGAGUUAGGGUUGGGUGCUUGUUAGGCUGGGGAAGUACACUCCUUGGCUCAGAAGAUUCCACAGAAGUAAAGCACAGAAGUAGCUACAGAGCAAGAAUAUGCAGGUAUGGGUUGGGAGCAGAUCCUACAAGUGUGGGUUAAGGUUUUGCAGGUUGGAAACGGUGGGUUUUAAAUUUUUCCUGACCCACACAUCACUUGUCUUAAAAGCCUGUGGAAAAAGUAAUACAAUACUAUCUUUUACAAUCAUUAUCUUUUCUUUAUUUUCUUAUUGCCCUUUUUUGUUUUGUAGACAAUCAGCAUGUUGAUGUGGUGUAAAAGAAGAGAACAAAAUACCACUUGCAUUUGGUCUGUUUAGGAUGAGAGUGAGCUGCAAUCAUAUACUUGGAAAAUAUAAGAUACACCCAUUGCACUACAGAUAAGUGACAAUUAAUUGCAGAAUUAAAGUAAAAUACAUUUCUUCAGGGCAACUCUGUAUCAGGCCCGGUCCAAGCCAUCCAAGCUUUGUAUGCAGCCCAGCUGGCCAUCUCGCCCAUGAAGGCCAUGUGCACUGUGACAAUGGGGGGGGGGGGGGAGGAGCACGCUCAAAAGACUAGACCCAUUAGGGGAACAGGGUCCAGUCCAGGGGAAGGCAAAAGAUGAGGUACAUGUUGGCGCCCCCACUUUGUUGCACCCUAGGCACAUGCCUCUUCUGCCUACCAUUAGUUCUGGCCCUGCUCUGUUUUGCUAAACCAUGUACAGUAUAUUGUUUUCAGGCAAACUAAAGACUUUAUAUUUUGAUGAUAGUAUCCUUAAAUUAAAAAAAAUCAAUUAAAAAAAUCCAAAAAAAAAAAGUGCUGGCUCUGCCCUUAAAAAUAUAUCUCACUAUAUUUACACACAGUAUGGCUUUGCAUACACUUCAUUUCAGGGAACACAUUGUUUCUGCAGAAUGUAUAGAGAAACAUACAGUAUACUGUAUGAAACAAUUGUGUAAUAUACUUAAUAUUUAGGUGUGUGAAUAUAUAGUGUAUAUAAAUAAUAAAAGUAUUAGUUGAGAACAUGGACACCAUUUUUGUACAAUUUUAAGACCCAAUCUUAGGUGUCAAAUUAAUGAUUCACAUUUAAAUUAGCAGCUGUCUUCUUGAUAUCCUAGUAAACUGAGAUUAGGUUUACAAGCCAGUUGGAUCAUGGCAGGAGGACAACAGAGUAAAAUAAAGACGUCAUCAGCUGGUGAUGGGAGGUGCGCUUGAAUCAUCUCACAGUUAAAAAAGCCUCCACUGUACUUGCCAACCUUACUAUCAACAUAAAAUAAAGUAGUAGAUGAUUAAGUAUAUGUAAUUUGCAUAGCACUUCACAUUAAUGCAUUUAAUUACUUUGGUAUUCUAACUAUUAGGUGCUAAUCUGCUUCAUGCAUAGUCUUAUUGUAAUAUUCGCCUUGGGAAGAAUUCCUCAUAUUUUAAAAGGAAAUAUAUUCCAUAAAAUAAAGCCUGUGGUAGUGACCAGCACAGUCUGUUGUUUAGACCCACACCUAACCCAUAACCACUUAUCCUAAACCAAGCCCACUUACCCUAUGCAAUUCCACCAAAUUGCCCUUAGUAAGCGGCAUGUAGAACAGAAGUGACAUUUUAAUUCCCCCCCCCCCAUUAACAGCAGCCUGCAGCCCACCCUAAACGGUACCCAAGGACCACCUGCACGGCUGAGACAUCAAGUAGGUUAAGAUGCCAUUAAGAAGGGUUAGGAUCUUUCCAAAGAUCUCAUCUAAUUCCAGAAUGGCUAUGGUGGGUGAAAGAAUUGAAUUCUCACAUAGGUAAGCCUCAACUAUCCCAUAUAGUUUAUAAAAUAAAUUCCCAUAUAAUAAAUAUCCCAUAUAAUUUAUAAAUGACAAUCUAUCCUGUGUUUGCAUAUGCCAUCCUCAACUAUGCUCCCAGUCAAUUCCUACCCCUCUCUCUAUUUUUAAUAGGUUUCAAGUCCAUGAAUUGCUUCAGCCCUCUGCCUAAUGGAAACUCUAUUUUCCAAAGAAGUAUGGAUGUGGUGUAAAUGGAAAAUGGAAGAUUGAAAUGAUUUAGCAUCAUCCACCCAAAUCUUAGGCCACUUGUAUACUCCACAAACAAGUGUGCCUAGUGAUAGUGUUAGCUGCUUGAAGCUCUCUUUCAACAAUCAUCACCUUCGACAUGUUCACUGAGCACUAUGGGUAAUGACUGCAAGACUUCAAAAUAAUCUCCCUGUUUGGUCCUGCUGAGGUAACAGUAAUUUGAAGAGAUACCUUCUCCAGGUAAAUGUGAGUUAGCAGAAAUCGGGACAGCUCCACUCCACUCUUACCUUGAACUCUAAAUGAAUUGGUGAGCACAAUUGUUCUUUUAGAAUUUAUUAACUGUCCAAUAGCACAACCACUUUAUAAAUACUGUACGUUUGGGGGUAAUUCAUUUAUACAUGCAUAUUUAUUGAUUGUAGCCAAAUUGACACUGGCACUUUACAGAAAUACCAUAGGGGUAAUUCAUUUUUUCAUGUACAUUGAUGAAGUUGAAGAAUCAAUUAAUUUUGUUUAUAAUUUAAUUCACUAUAGCAAGGUACACUUUAUGAAAAUACCUUAGUGGUAAUUGAUUCACUUAGGUACACUGACUAAUUACAUUUAAUGAAUGAUGUUUAAGCAUUUUUUCAUCACAGUGGUUAACGAUUGAAAAUUUUGGUAUAAUAUUAGUAAGUGGAUUACCUUGGAAUUACAGUUGGGAAUUGUGGGGUACUUUAUUUUGUUCUUUUCUAUUUUCUAAAUCCAGAAUUUUACAAAUGUUUUGUAAAUUGUUUUGAUGCAUGCAUAAAAAACCUUAUGAGACAAUGCAAAAAUGUGGUCCAGUUCUAAUAGUCCAGUGCAACCAAUCAGCAUUUACUGGUCACCUGUUUGAAAGAAAACAGCUAAUUGGUUAACUCUAGGUAAUGAAACAAAUGUAAAUGAAACUUUUGCACACUUUGUCCCCUUUUAAAAUGCAGACAUGCAUUGUUGUCUUGGCAAGAGUACAAAAAAUUCAUAAUGUUAAUCAUUUACAACUAUAAUCUUUUAAUUAAUGUCAUCAUUGAUCAUCAUUAUGAUCAACUGUUGAUUUUGUAAAGUACUGUUUGUUACCUUUUCCAUUAAGAAGCCCUCUUGGACCUUGGAAUUAAAUUACAUCUCCUAUGGAAAGAUUAUCCACGUAUUGCAACAUCUUUCCUCCUUCUGGGAAUGUGGGAUUUUGAUCUCUGAAAUAUAUCUUUAAAAGAAAAUCAAAAUUAGCUUAAAAAUAUUCCAUAGUUUUCCGUUACCUUCGUUUUUUUCACCCAGUACCCUCUGGGAAGCCCAUAAGCUUCUUAGAGGGUAGUGGCUGAAGACACUUUCUAAAUGUUAUCAAUUGAAAAUUCUGUACCAUUUCUGAAAUAACCAAUUACUCUUCGCUUUCCCCUUUCAGCCUCUGUUUCUCUUCAUUCUCUCUUCAUGCAAGAGUCGGGAGUCUGAUUUUGAGAGAUCUAAUGUUGUUAGAUGAUGUUGUAAUUAUGUUUUUCUGGUUAGGAAAGAUUUGAGUAAGGUUUCUAAUUUUUUUCUCCUAAUCAAACAAAUAUCAGAUCAGCCUUUUUCUUUCUCCUGACAACUUCCUUGACUACUUGGUGGUCAGAAUGAUCAGAAUAUGACCAGCAGGUAAUGCUGUUGUAACAAAAUAUACAAAAAUCUUCAAAAUAUCUAAAAAAAAUUUCAGCUAAUUACUAGAUUAAACCACAAACUAUUUCACUUGUUUACUGAAAGCUACAAAAAAAAACUUUAGCCUUUUUUAAAAUGCAGUGGGCUGGAUCAUGUCUCAAGAGAAAAAGCCUAGUAUUCUUUUAAACACUCAUGCAAAAUUCUUAUUAGUGUAAAGCGAUAAAUGCGUUAAAUGGUGGGGGCUGCUUCUGUGUCUGAUUAAUGGAAGUGGGGGAGGGGUGGACAUUUCACUUGUUUGGUCCAAAGACAAAGCCUCUUCUUUGCUGGGGACCACUUCAGUUUCUGGGUCUCAAUGAUGGAAGUGGGGAGGUUGACAUGUUACUUGCUUGGUCCGAAGAUGAUGCCUCUUCUUAGGUGGGGGGGGGCACUUCUGUUUCUGGGUCUUUAUGAUGGAAGUGGGGGGAGUGAACAGAUCACUUUUUGGUCCAAACACGAUACCGAUCUCUCGGGUGGGGGGUGCUUCCGGGUCUUGAUGUAAGUGGGAGGGUGGACCGAUCACUUGCUUGAUCCUUGGCUGGGAGCUGCUUCUGGAUGUCAGUGAUGGAGGUGGGGGGUGGACGGAACACUUUUUGGUCAAAAGAUGAUGCUUCUUCUUGGGUGGGGGCCGCUUCUCCCUGAUGGAGUUUUGUUCUCUCCGGCGGCAUGGGCGGGAAUCGAGCUCUAAUAUCUGGGUAUGGAAGGCAACUGCUUUAACCACUGGCUGGCCUUCUUUUGAUUCAGAACCAAUUGUUCUAUUUCUAGCACAUGGGCAAAAGGGUUCAGUGGUUAGAUGUGGUUAGUAUGUUAUAAAGGAGCACUGGAUCAACAAUAGUGUUUAGCCGCACACCACUUACUUGCUUGCUGGGUGCAUCCGUAUCCCUGGCAGCCUCCAAGCCAAAUAUUAUACAGAUAUGUGAAGUGGGAAGGAGCACACCAAAAAUGUCCAGGCAAUGCCUUAAUUCAUAUGCAGAUUUAUUGAGUGCACAAGCUUUCGGGGUCAGAACCCCUUCCUCAGGUGCAAUACAGAAACAAUGAACACAGUGCAAUUUAAACAUUCCACCCCCCAGUGCACACAGGAAAUCAAACCCUGCAUGUGACUUGUUAACCCUUCCAGACCUUACAAUAACACAUGUAUCCCAAGUGAUUGUAGUCAAUCUGUGUGUAUAUAACACGAAUCAAAUAUCAUAGUCCUCUUUAUCUGAAAAAUGUGACAAUAAAUAUCUUGUUAAAAA